GAAAGCUAGCUUGAAAUCAGGAAUAUAAGGUUUUAUUUUCUUCACAUUAAAGACUUUUCGCGCCACUAGUGUUGCGAAAAAGAGAAGUUGUUCAGACAUUGGUAGAACUAGCGGUCCCAGAGUGGUUAUGUUCGUCUUGAGAGCUUCUCCAGCUAUAGCCAUUAGGUUUUUGGAAAGUGAGACACCGAUUUGUUUGUUGUCGUCGUUGUCUUCGCGUUGGUAAACGCAGUUAAAGGCGUUGUCGUCAGAUCCUUUGUGUGUACGGACGGUGUGGAUGAGUUGGUAUUUGGAGCGGCAGCGGUCGGAGGAGCGGUUAGAGAGGAGAACGGCGGCGCCACCCAUUCGGAAGAUGCAGUUUGAGAGAAGCAUUGAUCGGUCGUUGCCUAAAUACCAGUUUAGGGUUAUGUUCUCUGUGCUCACUACUAGUGCAUAUGAAUUUGGUUGAACCUGCAUGCAUAUUACAAUAAAAAAAAAAAAAACAGGACCCUUAACGCAUAUUUAUUAGUCCAUAUUACAAUUCAUUACAAAAUUAGGACUCUAAAAGCAUAUGCAUAUAUAUAAUUAUAAAAAUAUGAAGACAAAUGAUACUGUAUGUAAAUCGAUGAAUGUCUAUGUGUACGUAUGUCUAUUUUUUAACGUAUUUUUAAAAACUGUUUUCAGUUUUGCUAUUUUUCAUUGUUCUAAAUAAAAAUAAUUUAUGUUUGACAAUUUUAUUUUUUUUUCGCCAUUUGACAAUUUUUUUGGAAAAGUAAAUAUCGUAGAACCAAAAAAAAAAAAAAAAUCAGAUGCAUGGCACAUUGGCACCAUACGUAAGACCUUACGUGUAUUGAUUAUUUAUGAAACUUAUACUCUUUACAAACUUGUUGUUUUCGGUGAUAUUGUUCAACAACCUUUUCUCGAUUGAAUAUAACUAAACAUGACACGUCACCUAUCAAUUUUGUACAACUGUUCAUAGGUACUUACUAGAAUAUAAUUUACCUACUUACCAAAAAAAGGAAUAUAAUUUACCUUAAUCAAUGUUUAUAAUUGACUAAUCCCAACCUUAAAUUGGUCUUUCAUAUCAUUGUCAAGUUCUUCUCGUGUAAUUGUAUAGUGAAAAUGACACAUAGAUUGUAUACACACACAUUGACACAUAGUUUGUAUACCAAAUAUGUAGUUGCUAUAAAGACAAUCUAUAGUCAUUCAAAUUUUCACAACUACCACCUACCUACAAAAUAAGCCUGGCACAACCUUCAUAAAUAGUAAUAAUAGAAGCUAGAGAUUUUACCAUUUUUCAUAUAAAAUCAGUAACCAAAUUUUAUAAGAUAACGACAUGACGUGAGAAAACUAGAAAAGUCCCAACCUCCCCACCUAAAUAAAAUUUAAUUUUCUCUUUGUCACAAGAUUUUAUUUCUUAUAUCAGAAUGUUCAAUUGAAAGCGAAUCUUAGUAUCAAAAAAUAAAAAGUUGUGAAGUUGUAAUGAUGGACUAAAUUCAUUGAAUAAAUAAUUACCUGAAGAAGCUGUUUAGCGAGAUCAAUGGAGAUAAGACCAGCACUACAACCCAUUCCACCAAGGUUAUAGCUCAAAACGUUUCCUCUGAGCUUAUAUUUAUUCACGAUCAUAGCCGAUAACGAAGGCGUCGGAUUAAACAAGCUACAAUUCACGACAAGUAUCCCAAUAUCCUUAGGAUUCACUCCGGUUUUCUCAAGCACUGCGUCUAUAGCUCCAAACAUAACCGUCUCGGCUUCUUUCCUUGCUUCAGACAUACAAGGAUUAGGCGGGACACGUAAGAGAGCCUCCGGGAAGUAAGUCUUUUGUCCAAGACCGGAACGUUCGAGGAUCUUUUGUUGGAAAGCGAGGUUGUCUUCUGUGAAGAUACCGACACGCUGAGACCGGUCCAUGAACGUUUCUCGUGUGCAUAUUAGAGAAGAGUCGGGUUUGUAACAAGCGAAAUCGAGGAGAAAGAUUCUGCGAGGACGAGUUGUGAAGUAGAGGGUGGUUAGAAAGAUAAGAAGAGCGGCGAAGAGAGUGGAAGAGAGGAAGUGGAAUUUGAGAAGGUGGUUGUAUAAGAGUGUGAGAUCGGUGAGACUAAAGGAGGAGGAGGUUGCGGCGAGGAGGCCGACGGGGAGUAUGAGAAUGUAGACGGCAUUCGAGAUUAGGUAAUGGUAACCAAGUUUAACAUAUUUGAGACGUACGGAUAAGAGGAAGUUUGGGAGUUUUUUGUUUGUUACAUGAAUGGUGUUGUUCAUGUGAUCACUUUGAAUGUGAUUCUCAUUCAUGGUAGGUUUUUUGGUUUUAAAUGAUAAUCAAAAGUAGCGAGAC
rnacentral:lncRNA from 1 species